rnacentral:tRNA from 1 species
GGGUUCAUAGUUCAGUGGGAGAACACUUGCUUGACGUGCAAGGGGUCGGCGGUUCGAGUCCGUCUGGACCCA